AUGGAUCUGGUGAACGGCGCGCUCAACUGGGCGGCGAUGCCCGCCAUGGUCGCCUCCCUCCUGCUCUUCUACCCGCCCUACUACCUCUUCAAGCUCUGCUACUCCUUCCUCUCCUACCUCUUCCCCGACGACCUCAAGCGCAAGGUCGUCCUCAUCACCGGCGCCUCCUCCGGCAUCGGCGAGCAACUGGCCUACCAGUACGCCACCAAGGGGGCAUGCCUUGCCCUGCUCGCCAGGAGGGAGUGGAGCCUGCGGCAGGUCGCCGACCGCGCCUUCGAGCUCGGCGCGCCCGACGUCAUCAUUCUCCCCGGCGACGUCGCAGACCCCGACGACUGCAACAGAUUUGUUCAGGCCACAAUCGACCACUACGGCCGAUUGGACCAUCUUGUGUGCAACGCUGGAAUUGCGAGCGUGGGCGCUUUUCAGGAGAUUCCUGACGUUACUAACUACAGCCCGCAGCUUGAUGUCAACUUCUGGGGUGCAGUUCAGUCCACUUUUGCUGCUCUGCCCCAUCUUAAAAGGACCCGAGGGAGGAUCGUGGUCACCGCCUCCGCAACCGGAUGGAACCCUGUUCCGCGAAUGGUUUUCUAUAAUGCCGCCAAUGCCGCACUGAUUAACUUCUUCGAGACCCUACGGUCGGAGCUUGGUAGUGAAGUUGGCAUCACAAUAGUGACGCCUGGGUGGAUCGAGUCCGAGAUGUCCAAAGGCAAGUUUCUCAAGGAGCACGGCGGCGUGGAGGUUGAUCAAGAAUAUCGAGAUGCCCAAAUCGGUCUCUUCCCGGUGGAGUACGCGAAGAACUGCGCGAGGGCCAUGGUGCAGGCAGCUCGCCAAGGUGACCGUUACCUCACCGUGCCGUCAUGGUUCGGAACAAUGUACCUGUGGAGGGUGUUUGCGCCGGAGGUCGUCGAGUUCUGCUACCGCCUCCUGUAUAUGCACGGCCAUGGCGGUGGCGACCAGACCGACGCGCCGAGCAAGACGAUGGCCCAGGGUGGCGGGAAGCAGAUGCUGUACCCCUCCUCGCUGCGCUCUUCGGACGUCAAAAACGACUAG
rnacentral:rRNA from 1 species